rnacentral:rRNA from 1 species
GGGGGGGGCAAGCGUUGUUCGGAAUUACUGGGCGUAAAGGGCUCGUAGGUGGCCAACUAAGUCAGACGUGAAAUCCCCAGGCUCAACUUGGGAACUGCGUCUGAUACUGGAUGGCUUGAAUUCGGGAGAGGGAUGCAGAAUUCCAGGUGUAGCGGUGAAAUGCGUAGAUAUCUGGAGGAAUACCGGUGGCGAAGGCGGCAUCCUGGACCGAGAUUGACACUGAUGAGCGAAAGCCAGGGGAGCAAACGGGAUUAGAUACCCCGGUAGUCCUGGCCCUAAACGAUGAAUGCUUGGUGUGACGGGUAUCGAUCCCUGUCGUGCCGAAGCUAACGCAUUAAGCAUUCCGCCUGGGGAGUACGGUCGCAAGGCUGAA